rnacentral:tRNA from 2 species
GGCCGCCUGGCGUAAUGGCAACGCGUCUGACUACGAUGCUCGGUAAUCAGGAGAUUGCAGGUUCGACCCCUGCGGUGGUCA